CUCUUGUUUUUGGUGGCAUAUGAAAUUAGGAGGAGGCAUCAACAAAUCAGGUGGCUGACCAACACAUGUCUGUGUAUGUUCUUCCUUCCAAGAUCCUUUGUCGGGUCAUUAACGGGCAGCUCAAGGCGGAGCCCGACACGGAUGAGGUGCUUGCCCAGAUUUAACCUUGCUUAGUUUUGGAAAAUUAGGGAAUAUGGUUGCCCAGGGUUCAAAUUCGAUCCGAACAAAACCCAUCAACCGAACCAAAAAGACCGAUAACUGAAAAGCGAAAAAAUAAUUUUUUUGCAGAUUUUUGCGGUUCGGUUCGGUUUUCAGUUCUGGUAGAAAAAACCGAAUCGAACCGAUGUUAUUAAAAACCUAUUAUAAAAGCAGCCUCCCUCCACACUUCCUCCUAAACCAGCCGCAGCCAUCCCUAGCAGAAACCCUAACUUCCUCGAGCCUUCUCUCAGUCUCUCUAGCGCCGAAUCUCAGCGGAAGUUCCUCCUUCUCCUUCUCUGCCAUCGACGCCGCCGGACAGCACCAUUGCAGCGGCGCGGCCCUUUUCUCUUCCUCUCUCUUCCUCUCUGUUCCUCGUAGGCUCAUAGCGCUUCUCUUUCUCCCUCAGCCUCGAUAACUCCACACACUACCUCUCCAGCAGCCAUCUCCUUGACGAACCAAUAGCCGCUGUCGUCUUCGACGAACUGCAGCAGCACGCACCAGACGCAGUCGAAGCUGCUGCCGUUCGUCGUCCGUCUCUCGUUCGCCGCCGCCGCCUCACCAUCCUGCACCUCCGUUGUCCUCUGCAACGGAGCUUAAGUCUCAGCAAGAUGAGAACGCAAUUGACAAAGAGCCUCCACUGCCACCACGGUGUCGUCCUCCCCUGCUCUCUGCCUGCAUCUAGAUAAAUGGAGCCUCAGCUUCUUCUUCUAGCACCUUCUACACCAUCCUUAUGUUUUGCACAAAACCCAAGAACAACAAAGCUUCUUUGUCACGAUAAUAAUCAUAUCAUGAAGACAACAUCAAUAGGAACAGCAACAGCAACUUGAACUGAAGGGAACUCGUUGAGAAGCAGUGAAAUAGCAACAGUUGGUGCCAUCUUCAAUUUCAGAUACCCGCCCAAUCUGCAACCGGAAAGAAACCCCAACGCAAUCUUCUUCCCCAGAUGUCUUGAGCAACGCCGUUUGCUAGGCAGUGGGAUGUCAAGGUUUUGGGCCUAGUUCGGAGUUGGAGAGGAAGUGGAAGGAAAUUGGGCAGCUCACCAAGGAAAUUGGGCCUAGUUCACAACAGGCCCCAUCAUUAUUAUUAUUAUUCUGCACAUUCACAACACCCCUACUAAUUCAUACUUCUCCAUAGUCUAGACUUUUCCUGUCCUCCAAUCUCAAGGUGAUUGAGUUUAUUUGUUAUUAUCGGUGAUUGAGUUUCUCUGAUGCAUUGAAUUGAAUUUACUUUUAUAAGUUUGCUUAGUUAUAAUUUGUUUUUUAGUAACCAUGAUUGGAGAAGAAAUUUUAAAUUGGGUAGAAUAUAUUUUUUGUCUCUAAAAUUUGAUAAAUUUUAAAAAUACCCUUAAGUUUUAUUUUGUUUCGAUUUUGUUUCAGAAGUUUUCGAUUUGCAUUGAAUAUACUUUUAACGGCUAAAUUUUCAAAAAAUUUAAGAUCAAUCCAAUAUUAAUGCAUGAAAAUUAUGUUUGAUUUGCUUGUAUUUAUGGUUAUUCUUAUGAAAUUAUUGUUGAAUUGGUCUUAAUUUUUUUGAAAAAUUAGCCGUCAAGGGUAUAUUCGAUGCAAAUAAAAAACUUAGGACAAAAUUGAAACAAUAAUACUUCGGGGUAUUUUUAAAAUUUUUGUCAAAUUUUAGGGACGAAAAAUAUACUUUAUCCUUUUAAAUUUAAUCUUAGACAAACAAUUCGGAGACAUACAUACUCUUAAUUAUUUCAUUAAUGGUGAGUUCAAAAGGAGUGUUAGAAAACACACUUUUGAUGCUGACAUCGGUUUUUCGAAUUUUAAAACAAAGUGUAAGGUGGUUAGAGUCCCUAACAAUAACAAGGAUAUAAUAGAAUGUAUGCAGCAACAUUUUGAAUUGGCAUUGAAAUGUAUUCUCUUUCUCCUUAAGUGCUUUAAAGACGGAAGGGAUUAAGAUUGACUUAAAAAGAUUUUUCGGAUUUUGUUAAAUUUUUAUCAAUCAGCGAGGUUCAUGGUAAUAUAAUGGUACUAGAUUGAAACUAGUUACAUUAUUAUGAAUCUGGCUUGACUGAUGAAGAUCCAACAAUCCUACAACAAAAUCGCGAGAAAUUUUUGUUGAGUCCAUUGUAAUCUUGUGUUAUAUAGUCAUAUAAAAUGUGAAUGUUGUCAUAAUUCUUUGAAAAAAAAGUAAAGUUUUCGUCUUGAAAACAUUGAAUAGGAGGGAGAAUGCCAACUCAAAACGUUGCUGCAUGCAUCCCAUUAGAUUCCCGUCGUUGUUUGGGACUUUUACUGUCUGAUAUUUUGUUUUAAAAUUUGAAGAGCUGAUGACAGCAUCAAAAUGUGUAUUUCCACAUUUUUUUGGGACCCAUCAUUAAUGAGGUAAUUAAGAGUAUUGAUGAGUUCGAUUUGUUUGUCUAAAGAUUAAAUUAAAAAUUUCUGCAUCAUGAUUACAAAUUCAAUACAAAAUAUAACCCAGGAAACUUCAAUAAAUUCAGUUCAAAGCAUCAGAGAAAAUUCAAUCUUAUAGAUAAAAAUUCAUGCUUUCAUAUUGAACAAAUAUAAGCUCAAUUAGUAAAAUAUAUGUUAAAUAGGGAUGAACCACUGGCUAUUUGAUAGCAUAUAUACACCAUAAGCAUCAAAUUUAACAA